GAUGAACGCUGGCGGCGUGCCUAAUACAUGCAAGUAGAACGCUGAAGCUUGGUGCUUGCACCGAGCGGAUGAGUUGCGAACGGGUGAGUAACGCGUAGGUAACCUGCCUCUUAGCGGGGGAUAACUAUUGGAAACGAUAGCUAAUACCGCAUAAAAGUUGACAUUGCAUGAUGUUGAUUUGAAAGAUGCAAUUGCAUCACUAAGAGAUGGACCUGCGUUGUAUUAGCUAGUUGGUGAAGUAACGGCUCACCAAGGCGACGAUACAUAGCCGACCUGAGAGGGUGAUCGGCCACACUGGGACUGAGACACGGCCCAGACUCCUACGGGAGGCAGCAGUAGGGAAUCUUCGGCAAUGGGGGCAACCCUGACCGAGCAACGCCGCGUGAGUGAAGAAGGUUUUCGGAUCGUAAAGCUCUGUUGUAAGAGAAGAACGAGUGUGAGAGUGGAAAGUUCACACUGUGACGGUAACUUACCAGAAAGGGACGGCUAACUACGUGCCAGCAGCCGCGGUAAUACGUAGGUCCCGAGCGUUGUCCGGAAUUAUUGGGCGUAAAGAGCUUGUAGGCGGUUUGUCGCGUCUGCUGUGAAAGGCCGGGGCUUAACCCCGUGUAUUGCAGUGGGUACGGGCAGACUAGAGUGCAGUAGGGGAGACUGGAACUCCUGGUGUAGCGGUGGAAUGCGCAGAUAUCAGGAAGAACACCGAUGGCGAAGGCAGGUCUCUGGGCUGUAACUGACGCUGAGAAGCGAAAGCAUGGGGAGCGAACAGG
rnacentral:rRNA from 1 species